UCAGCGGCUCUUUUCAGAGCCACCAAAACGCUGCUUUUUUGGGCG
rfam:Ixodes scapularis strain Wikel colony gcontig_1108379134012, whole genome shotgun sequence.